rnacentral:sRNA from 1 species
AUCCUCCCCAUGCAGGGAAGGAUGAGAAGCUUCGACUAAGGUUCGAUUCGAGCGUAGCGAGAAAGCGUUGCCGCAGGCAACGACCCGAAGGGCGAGGAGCAGCGCGACGAGUAAUCCUUCCCCCACCACCA